rnacentral:rRNA from 1 species
GAUGAACGCUGGCGGCGUGCCUAACACAUGCAAGUCGAACGAAGCACUGCAGACGGAGAUUCGUCGAAGCCUGCAUUGACUUAGUGGCGGACGGGUGAGUAAUGCGUGAGCAACCUGCCUUUCAGAGGGGGACAACAGUUGGAAACGACUGCUAAUACCGGCAUGAAGUAUAUUGGAGGCAUCUCUGAUAUACCAAAGGAGCAAUCCGCUGAAAGAUGGGCUCACGUCUGAUUAGCUAGUUGGUGAGGUAACGGCUCACCAAGGCUGCGAUCAGUAGCCGGACUGAGAGGUUGAACGGGCCACAUUGGGACUGAGAUACGGCCCAGACUCCUACGGGAGGCAGCAGUGGGGAAUAUUGGGCAAUGGGCGAAAGCCUGACCCAGCAACGCCGCGUGAAGGAAGAAGGUCUUCGGAUUGUAAACUUC